rnacentral:lncRNA from 1 species
CGCUAUUGCAUCCAUUGGAAAGGGAGAGGGGGAGAGCGCGAGAGAAAAGGAGAGAGCAAGAGAAAGGGAGAGCGAGAAAAAUUGAUGGACAAAGAGAAAGGGAGAGAGAGAGAGAGAGCGAGAGAAAGGAAGAGAGCAAGAAAAAUUGAUGGACAAAAAAAUAGAGAGGAGAGCGAGGGAAAAGGAGGAGAGAGAGAGAGAAAGGGAGAGCGAGCGAGAGAAAGGGAGAGCGAGCGAGAGAAAGGGAGAGAGAGCGAGAGAAAGGGCGAGAGAAAGGGAGAGGGACAGGGGGAGAGACAGGGCAAGGGGGAAAGGGAGAGGAGAGCGAGGGAAAAGGAGAGGAGAGAGAGAGAAAGGGAGCGAGAGAAAGCGAGCGAGAGCGAGCGAGAGAGAGAAAGGGAGAGCGAGAGAGAGCGAGAGAAAGGGAGAGCGAGAGAGAGCGAGCAAAAGGGAGAGAGAGCGAGCGAGAGAAAGGGAGAGAGCGAGAGAAAGGGAGAACGAGAGAGGGAAAGGCGAGAGGAGAAAGAGGGAAAGGGGGAGAGAGAAAGAGAGCGAGAGAAAGUAGAGAGAGGAGAGGGAAAGGGGGAGAGAGAGAAAAG